UGCGCCCUCCUGCAGCCACCCGCUACCGCAGCCGCCAGCAUGUUGGGCCCAGACGUCUAGACGCCCGCCAUCCAGAUCUGCCGGAUCGUGCGGCCAGAUGACGCCAACGUGGCCGGCAAUGUCCACGGGGGGAACCAUCCUGAAGAUGAUCCAGGAGGCGGGUGCCAUCAUCAGCACCCGGCAUUGCAACAGCCAGAACGGGGAGCGCUGUGUGGCUGCGCUGGCUCGGGCUGAGCGCACUGACUUCCUGUCACCCAUGUGCAUCGGGGAGGUGGCCCACGUCAGCGUGGAGAUCACCUACACCUCUAAGCACUCGGUGGAGGUGAAGGUCAACGUGUUGUCUGAAAACAUCCUCACAGGUGCCAAAAAGCUGAUCAAUAAGGCCACCCUCUGGUAUGUGCCCCUGUCGCUGAAGAAUGUGGACGAGGUCCUCGAGGUGCCUCCUGUUGUGUAUUCCCGGCAGGAGCAGGGGUAGGAGGGCCGGAAGCGAUACGAAGCCCAGAAGCUAGAGUGCAUGGAGACCAAGUGGAGGAACGGGGACAUCGUCCAGCCAGUCCUCAACCCAGAGCCGAACACUGUCAGCUACAGCCAGUCCAGCUGGAUUCACCUGGUGGGGCCUUCAGACUGUACCCUACACGGCUUUGUGCAUGGAGGCGUGACCAUGAAGCUCAUGGACGAGGUCGCUGGGAUUGUGGCUGCACGCCACUGCAAGACCAACGUCGUCACAGCUUCCGUGGACGCCAUUAAUUUUCGCAACAAGAUCAGAAAAGGCUUCGUCAUCACCAUCUCGGGACGAAUGACCUUCACGAGCAAUAAGUCCAUGGAGAUCGAGGUCUUGGUGGACGCCGACCCUGUUGUGGACAGCUCUCAGAAGCGAUACCGGGCUGCCAGUGCCUUCUUCACCUACGUGUCGCUGAGCCAGGAGGGCAGGUCGCUGCCCAUGCCCCAGCUUGUGCCCGAGACCGAGGACGAGAAGAAGCACUUUGAGGAAGGCAAAGGGCGGUACCUGCAGAUGAAGGCGAAGCGACAGGGCCACGCGGAGCCCCAGCCCUAGACACCCUUCUCC